rnacentral:lncRNA from 1 species
AUGAACAUCUGAUCCACUGUGGUGCCUGAUCUUUUUCUUCUUCUAAACUGAUCAAAAUUGAAAACCCUAGUUCAGAUAUAUAGGCAGUCAUGAAUAGUAAUAAUGCGUAUGCAUGUUCUGCAUAGUAAUAAAUUCUUCUUUAAUCUUAGUCUGACAUCAUGAUAAAUUGCAUACCCGACAAUCAUUUCUCUGUGUAAAUGAAGUACUAAGCUGUAAUAAUUUAUUCUCUUCAUAAAAUACCAAGUUUAAUCAAGUUAAUUAUUUAAAUCAAUAAAAAUGAUCUGGUUCACCCUAUUAACUGCCCAACAAACUGUUUGAAAACUAUAUAUUCUUUGUUAAAGGGUAGAUUACAAGAAAUGUUUUCCAUGUUCUUAAUUUAAAAAACAAGAUUCUGAUAUAAUGAACCUAAAUCAAAAUUCACAAAUGGUGGCUGAAAUCCUGUGAGAGUACAACAUAAAUCCAUAGUUAUUGUGCAUAAACAAUUCAAAAUUAGUUUAUAAAGGGAACGUCAACAAGUCCUAUAACCACCACACCUUAUUACUAAUGGGUUCCACCACACUUCACCCAGGCACAGCAGAUAUAAACAUCUGACAGACUGCUCAGAAAAUUAAAGCUAUUAGAGCUAUAAAUAAGGAAUGCCUAAAUAUAAACAUAGCAAUGCCAAUACAUUAGUGCCGUUUUAAAAAGUGAAUAAGAUGCAGUGUAAACACACCUGAUAGUUCCCUCUGUAAGCCACUUUCCCACUGAUUUAUAAAGCUAUGGUUCUGUAAUUCUUUUAAAAAGGA